rnacentral:rRNA from 1 species
UACAGAGGUCCCGAGCGUUGUUCGGAUUCACUGGGCGUAAAGGGUGCGUAGGUGGUGAGGUAAGUCGGAUGUGAAAGCUCCAAGCUCAACUUGGAAAUGGCAUUGAAUACUAUCUUGCUCGAGGUUUGGAGGGGGGACUGGAAUUCUCGGUGUAGCAGUGAAAUGCGUAGAUAUCGAGAGGAACACCAGUGGCGAAGGCGAGUCCCUGGACAACACCUGACACUAAGGCACGAAAGCUAGGGGAGCAAAUGGG